rnacentral:rRNA from 1 species
UACAGAGGGGGCAAGCGUUGUUCGGAAUUACUGGGCGUAAAGGGCGCGUAGGCGGCCUUCUAAGUCGAACGUGAAAUCCCCGGGCUCAACCCGGGAACUGCGUCCGAUACUGGAAGGCUUGAAUCCGGGAGAGGGAUGCGGAAUUCCUGGUGUAGCAGUGAAAUGCGUAGAUAUCAGGAGGAACACCGAUGGCGAAGGCAGGUCUCUGGGCUGACACUGACGCUCAUGCACGAAAGCGUGGGGAGCAAACAGG